GACGAACGCUGUCGGCGUGCUUAACACAUGCAAGUCGAACGGAAAGGCCCUGCUUUUGUGGGGUGCUCGAGUGGCGAACGGGUGAGUAACACGUGAGUAACCUGCCCUUGACUUUGGGAUAACUUCAGGAAACUGGGGCUAAUACCGGAUAGGAGCUCCUGCUGCAUGGUGGGGGUUGGAAAGUUUCGGCGGUUGGGGAUGGACUCGCGGCUUAUCAGCUUGUUGGUGGGGUAGUGGCUUACCAAGGCUUUGACGGGUAGCCGGCCUGAGAGGGUGACCGGCCACAUUGGGACUGAGAUACGGCCCAGACUCCUACGGGAGGCAGCAGUGGGGAAUAUUGCACAAUGGGCGGAAGCCUGAUGCAGCAACGCCGCGUGCGGGAUGACGGCCUUCGGGUUGUAAACCGCUUCCGCCUGUGACGAAGCGUGAGUGACGGUAAUGGGUAAAGAAGCACCGGCUAACUACGUGCCAGCAGCCGCGGUGAUACGUAGGGUGCGAGCGUUGUCCGGAUUUAUUGGGCGUAAAGGGCUCGUAGGUGGUUGAUCGCGUCGGAAGUGUAAUCUUGGGGCUUAACCCUGAGCGUGCUUUCGAUACGGGUUGACUUGAGGAAGGUAGGGGAGAAUGGAAUUCCUGGUGGAGCGGUGGAAUGCGCAGAUAUCAGGAGGAACACCAGUGGCGAAGGCGGUUCUCUGGGCCUUUCCUGACGCUGAGGAGCGAAAGCGUGGGGAGCGAACAGGCUUAGAUACCCUGGUAGUCCACGCUGUAAACGGUGGGUACUAGGUGUGGGGUCCAUUCCACGGGUUCCGUGCCGUAGCUAACGCUUUAAGUACCCCGCCUGGGGAGUACGGCCGCAAGGCUAAAACUCAAAGGAAUUGACGGGGCCCCGCACAAGCGGCGGAGCAUGCGGAUUAAUUCGAUGCAACGCGUAGAACCUUACCUGGGUUUGACAUGGAUCGGGAGUGCUCAGAGAUGGGUGUGCCUCUUUUGGGGUCGGUUCACAGGUGGUGCAUGGCUGUCGUCAGCUCGUGUCGUGAGAUGUUGGGUUAAGUCCCGCAACGAGCGCAACCCUUGUUCACUGUUGCCAGCACGUUAUGGUGGGGACUCAGUGGAGACCGCCGGGGUCAACUCGGAGGAAGGUGGGGAUGACGUCAAGUCAUCAUGCCCCUUAUGUCCAGGGCUUCACGCAUGCUACAAUGGCUGGUACAGAGAGUGGCGAGCCUGUGAGGGUGAGCGAAUCUCGGAAAGCCGGUCUCAGUUCGGAUUGGGGUCUGCAACUCGACCUCAUGAAGUCGGAGUCGCUAGUAAUCGCAGAUCAGCAACGCUGCGGUGAAUACGUUCCCGGGGCU
rnacentral:rRNA from 1 species